GACUGGGGUGGUAAAACUGCCAAAAGCUAGUGAAGGUGUCCGAAGGCAAGCUCAGGGAGGACAGAAACCUUCCAUGGAGCAGAAGGGCAAAAAGCUCAGUGUAGCUGCAGACACGCCAAUCCUGG
rnacentral:ncRNA from 1 species